GGGGGCGUAGCUCAGUCGGUUAGAGCGUCGGCCUGUCACGCCGGAGGCCGCGGGUUCAAGUCCCGUCGCUCCCGCCA
rnacentral:tRNA from 1 species